rnacentral:rRNA from 1 species
CGGUGCAGGAUGAAGGCUUCGGGUUGUAAACUGCUUUUGUACGGAACGAAAAGGCUCUUUCUAAUACAGGAGGCUCAUGACGGUACCGUAAGAAUAAGCACCGGCUAACUACGUGCCAGCAGCCGCGGUAAUACGUAGGGUGCAAGCGUUAAUCGGAAUUACUGGGCGUAAAGCGUGCGCAGGCGGUUUUGUAAGACAGAGGUGAAAUCCCCGGGCUCAACCUGGGAACUGCCUUUGUGACUGCAAGGCUGGAGUGCGGCAGAGGGGGAUGGAAUUCCGCGUGUAACAGUGAAAUGCGUAGAUAUGCGGAGGAACACCGAUGGCGAAGGCAAUCCCCUGGGCCUGCACUGAAGCUCAUGCACGAAAGCGUGGGGAGCAAACAGGAUUAGAUACCCUGGUAGUCCACGCCCUAAACGAUGUCAACUGGUUGUAGGGUCUUCACUGACUCAGUAACGAAGCUAACGCGUGAAGUUGACCGCCUGGGGAGUACGGACGCAAGGUUGAAACUCAAAGGAAUUGACGGGGACCCGUACAAGCGGUGGAUGAUGUGGUUUAAUACGAUGCAACGAGAAAAAACUUAACCACCUUUGACAUGUCCGGAAG